rnacentral:rRNA from 1 species
AUCUAGCCAUGCCGCGUGAGUGAUGAAGGUCUUAGGAUCGUAAAGCUCUUUCGCUAGGGAUGAUAAUGACAGUACCUAGUAAAGAAGCCCCGGCUAACUCCGUGCCAGCAGCCGCGGUAAUACGGAGGGGGCUAGCGUUGUUCGGAAUUACUGGGCGUAAAGCGUACGUAGGCGGAUCAGAAAGUAUGGGGUGAAAUCCCAGGGCUUAACCCUGGAACUGCCUCAUAAACUCCUGG